rnacentral:pre_miRNA from 1 species
UGUCGCGAACCCGUAGAUCCGAUCUUGUGGUGAUUGUGGGCGCACAAGUUGGGUUCUGUGGGUCUGCGUCUC